rnacentral:rRNA from 1 species
CUUGGUGUGUUUAGCGUCAUGGAACCACUCCGAUCCCAUCCCGAACUCGGCUGUGAAACGUGUCUGCGGCGACGAUACUUUUGGGGUUGCCCUCUGGAACAAUAGCUCCAUGCCAAGA